rnacentral:rRNA from 1 species
ACACAUGCAAGUCGAACGAAGCAUUUAGAACAGAUUACUUCGGUUUGAAGUUCUUUAUGACUGAGUGGCGGACGGGUGAGUAACGCGUGGGUAACCUGCCUUGUACUGGGGGAUAGCAGCUGGAAACGGCUGGUAAUACCGCAUAAGUGCACAAUGUUGCAUGACAUGGUGUGAAAAACUCCGGUGGUAUAAGAUGGACCCGCGUCUGAUUAGCUAGUUGGUGAGAUAACAGCCCACCAAGGCGACGAUCAGUAGCCGACCUGAGAGGGUGACCGGCCACAUUGGGACUGAGACACGGCCCAGACUCCUACGGGAGGCAGCAGUGGGGAAUAUUGCACAAUGGGGGAAACUCUGAUGCAGCGACGCCGCGUGAGUGAAGAAGUAAUUCGUUAUGUAAAGCUCUAUCAGCAGGGAAGAUAGUGACGGUACCUGACUAAGAAGCUCCGGCUAAAUACGUGCCAGCAGCCGCGGUAAUACGUAUGGAGCAAGCGUUAUCCGGAUUUACUGGGUGUAAAGGGAGUGUAGGUGGCCAUGCAAGUCAGAAGUGAAAAUCCGGGGCUCAACCCCGGAACUGCUUUUGAAACUGUAAGGCUAGAGUGCAGGAGGGGUGAGUGGAAUUCCUAGUGUAGCGGUGAAAUGCGUAGAUAUUAGGAGGAACACCAGUGGCGAAGGCGGCUCACUGGACUGUAACUGACACUGAGGCUCGAA